UAUUGCCUGCUGUUCUAGACACUGGGAAGUCCAAGGUGAGGGCAACAGCAGACUCGAUGUCUGUGAAAGCCCUUUCUUAUAGCUGGUACCUCAUUUUGUGUACCCACAGGAAAAGGAGCAAGCGAACUCUGUCUGGCCUCUUCCCAGUGGCCUAGCCUACCUCUGGGCUCUUGGACAUUCUGUAACACUCUCAGUUGGGGACCCCUGUCAAUUGCUGACAGUGCUCUGUCUUCCCACUGCUCUGGCUGUGUCUGAUCCACCUGUCCACACUCACCCAGCACAGACCUCAACACAAGCCUUACACUGUCUCCAACACAUAGAAGACUCAGUGAAUGAGGGUGCCAAGGUCUACUUUCAAGGCCAUGUUCAGAUUGAUACAUGCAGGUUCAUCCAUGUUUCAAAGUCAUACAGACUCC
rnacentral:lncRNA from 1 species